UGGAGGCACCCUCAUAGACAUGCUUGAGCUCCCUGACUUAGGAGAGAGAAGAUCAAAGCUCAGAGAUCAUAAAAAGGCUCAGAGGAUAUCACAGAGUUCAGAAAAUACAAUGGAAUCAUAUUACCCUGGACCUCACCUACAUGAGUCUCAGGUAGCUGAAAACUACUGCUGUUGUCUCUACUGCUCCUGCUCCUGUUUACUGAUUCCAGCAAUUGUCCUGUUUAGUACAUACACUUUAUGUGUUCUGCUAAAGAAACUUUUUUUUUAAUUAAAAAAAGGAAAGCUGUCA